UUUCCACUGGAAUGGAGGAAUAGUGCUGGUUGGGAUAACUUCUCCACUACCAAGGGGAAGUUGGUAAACUCUUCCAUGAUGGACAUAAUGAAAGGGAUGUUUGAAAGACAAGAGAUCACUGAGGGCAUUGCUUAGCAUUGGCGUGUAGAGGAAAACAAAGCAGCGUGAACCCUUCAAGGAUAAGUUUCUCCCUCUCCUCACAGUGUGAAGAGCCACAACCAUCUAAGAUCCUAAAGAAGUGACAACAUCCAGCAUGGACCUGAACACAGGCACCCAGCUCCAUCCAACUGAGACCCUUUGAGCCCUACUGUCCUACAGUGAGAACUGCAUAUGAGAAUCAGCCAUUUUGCAGUGAACACAUAUAUUAAAACAUUUCCUCAUACAAUACUCACCCAGCGUGGAUAAAGGACCAGAGAAUCACCCUGUUCUCUCUCUCCUCCAUGGCUAAGCUCCUCUGCUGACUACCUCUGGGGGCUGAGAUGAGGGAUGAGUUGGUAGAUGUCCUUUGCCUAGAGGCUCAACUGCAGCAAGCCCAGCCUAGCUGCCUGACAGUAUACACAGAGAAGAUCGCCGUCUAUAAUUGGCUUUGGAGAAAAAGGACACACCAAUUAAAUUCUGUGGGGGGAAAAUUAUUUGAGAAGUAAAUCCUGUGUAUUCCUGGUUUUUGAAAGCACCAACCAGGAGAAUGACUCAUGAGUCCAAAGAUCUCAUGUAAAAAUCAUAAUUUGACCUUUGCUGCUCACAAUCUCUAUCGGCGGCUGCAUGCUAAUGAGUGGAAGAAGAAUAAUUGCUCAAGGCAGGAUAUGAACGUGCAGUUAAGUUCCUGCUGGCCGAAGAUACAGCAGUUCUCUGCUCCCUACACGGACCCCUGCAUUCGUUUCCUUUCCUGUUACGGUGAUAACAUGUUCUGGAGAAAAUGAAGGGAAAUGUUUAUUCUGUCUCACA